GACGAACGCUGGCGGCGUGCUUAACACAUGCAAGUCGAGCGGUAAGGCCCUUUCGGGGUACGACGAGCGGCGAACGGGUGAGUAACACGUGGGUGACCUGCCUUUAGUCUCUGGGAUAAGCCUGGGAAACGUGGGUCGUAAUACCGGAUAUGACCCUAUGGCGCAUGUUGUGGGGUGGAAAGCCUUGUGCGGCUAGGGAUGGGCCCGCGGCCUAUCAGCUUGUUGGUGGGGUGAUGGCCUACCAAGGCGACGACGGUAGCCGGCCUGAGAGGGCGACCGGCCACACUGGGACUGAGACGACGGCCCAGACUCCUACGGGAGGCAGCAGUGGGGAAUCUUGCGCAAUGGGCGAAAGCCUGACGCAGCGACGCCG
rnacentral:rRNA from 1 species